UGCGUGGAAGGAGGGAACAAGGAGCUCUGGUCCUCCGGGCAUCACCUCAAAUCCUGUAGGGAGGUGGCUUUUUCACAUGACAGAGAGAAACUCUUCAGCAUAUCUAAGGACAAAUCUGUCCACAUUAUGGACGUGGAGGGAGGAAAGCUAGUCAAAAGGAUACCAAAGGCACACAGUCACUCCUUUUUCUGCGUGGAAGGAGGGAACAAGGAGCUCUGGUCCUCCGGGCAUCACCUCAAAUCCUGUAGGGAGGUGGCUUUUUCACAUGACA